GACAGAGGGUGCAAACGUUUGUUCGGAAUUACUGGGCGUAAAGCGAGUGUAGGCGGUUUCCUAAGUCAGGUGUGAAAGCCCCGGGCUCAACCCGGGAAGUGCACUUGAAACUGGGAGGCUAGAGUAUCAGAGAGGUUGGUGGAAUUCUCGGUGUAGAGGUGAAAUUCGUAGAUAUCGAGAGGAACACCGGUGGCGAAGGCGGCCAACUGGACGAAUACUGACGCUGAGACUCGAAAGCGUGGGGAGCAAACAGG
rnacentral:rRNA from 1 species